AUGUUAUUAAGAAAGGUGGAGAGAUAAGACUCUAUGAAACCUUGGCAACCCUUCGGAAACGAAGAAGGUGCUACAUUCUUACCCAGUCUGGGUGAAGAUAACAG
rnacentral:ncRNA from 2 species